rnacentral:misc_RNA from 1 species
GAAACGCGAUAAGGAAUGUGAAUUGCAGAAUUCAGACAAUCAUCGAAUCUUUGAACGCACAUUGCGUCCGCCAGUAUUCUGGCGGGCAUGCCUGUUCGAGCGUCAUUUCAACCCUCAAGCUCAGCUUGGUGUUGGGACUCGCGGUAACCCGCGUUCCCCAAAUCGAUUGGCGGUCACGUCGAGCUUCCAUAGCGUAGUAAUCAUACACCUCGUUACUGGUAAUCGUCGCGGCCACGCCGUAAAACCCCAACUUCUGAAUGUUUACCCCGGAUCAGGUAGGAAUACCCGCUGAACUUCA